rnacentral:rRNA from 1 species
GAUGAACGCUGGCGGCGUGCCUAACACAUGCAAGUCGAACGGAGUUCUUAAGGAAUGCGGCUUCGGUCAAAUGACUUUUGAACUUAGUGGCGGACGGGUGAGUAACGCGUGAGCAACCUGCCUUUCAGAGGGGGAUAACAUUUGGAAACAGAUGCUAAUACCGCAUAAGAUUACAGUAGCGCAUGAUACAGUGAUCAAAGGAGCAAUCCGCUGAAAGAUGGGCUCGCGUCCGAUUAGAUAGUUGGCGGGGUAACGGCCCACCAAGUCGACGAUCGGUAGCCGGACUGAGAGGUUGAACGGCCACAUUGGGACUGAGACACGGCCCAGACUCCUACGGGAGGCAGCAGUGGGGAAUAUUGCACAAUGGGCGAAAGCCUGAUGCAGCAACGCCGCGUGAGGGAAGACGGUCUUCGGAUUGUAAACCUUUGUCUUUAGGGACGAUAAUGACGGUACCUAAGGAGGAAGCCACGGCUAACUACGUG